UUGAAAGGGAAACGAUUGAAGUCAGUCGUGCUGGCGCGAAAUCAACCUUCUCGUCUUGAGAUCACAUGGCGUGGCGAGCCUCAAAACCGUCACGAAGCGUGAACUCUUGGUGAAAUGGAGCACUUUCGUGUCCGCUGAUUAACAUCAAUUUCGAACGUCAUAAAAAGGCUGGAGGGAUGUGGCUCCUUCGGGAGUGUUAUAACCUUUAGCGGAAUGUGGUGUUCGGGAUUGAGGAUUGCAACGAAUACCUUUAGGGCUGUUCCACCUGGCUUCUCUUUGGUAUCCUGGUGACGACAGCUUGCUGACGUCGUUAGGAUUCGCCUUUGAACAGGCUAGAGUGUGAGCAAAUUCGUUAAGGAUGUUGACGUA
rnacentral:rRNA from 1 species